rnacentral:misc_RNA from 1 species
UACGUCAUCCCCACCUUCCUCCGGCUUGUCGCCGGCGGUCCCUUUAGAGUGCCCAACUAAAUGAUGGCAACUAAAGGAGAGGGUUGCGCUCGUUGCGGGACUUAACCCAACAUCUCGCGACACGAGCUGACGACAGCCAUGCAGCACCUGUCUCCGCGCCCCUUGCGGGGACCGCCCAUCUCUGAGCGUAGCGCGGGAUGUCAAACCCUGGUAAGGUUCUGCGCGUUGCGUCGAAUUAAACCACAUGCUCCACCGCUUGUGCGGGCCCCCGUCAAUUCCUUUGAGUUUCAACCUUGCGGCCGUACUCCCCAGGCGGGACGCUUAAUGCGUUAGCUGCGCCACUGAUAAGCAUGCUUACCAACGGCUAGCAUCCAUCGUUUACGGCGUGGACUACCAGGGU